UGGUAGGGUAAUAAAGUGCCCUGGUUUGCCCUGGACGAAAACCAACAGUGUUUUCUAGAUGCGAGUUAAAACUGGGACUUUCCCGGGCAAAUCAGGAUGAAUUGGUCAUCCUAGCUGAUUAGAGUGUGGGAGUGGGAUGGUUUGGGGGUCUUUUAUAAGCUGCCGUGUUUCAACUGACUAUUGGGUGGGUGAUUGUUUGCACACUUGGGUCAUUCUACCUGCUGGCUCAGGUGACUGAGACCCUUGAACUCCAGUAGGUCCAUGAGCUCUUCCUCUUACUCCUAUGUACCCUGGUUUCUCUGGGCACAAUGCCCAGAGACCAGCCUCGAGGGAAGACCACUGCUCCCAACAAUCCUCCUGGCUUACUUGCCACCAUGCCACUUCCCCUACGUAACGAACCAUUGUUGGGACUAAAGUACAUCCCUUCAGGAAGAAAACAGCAGCUCUCUACUUUGCAUCAGAGGGUUUUGGGGAGGAUGAAAUGUGAGUGGAAUUUGGCCAUGAUCAGCCCUUAGAGUCGGCCUGAGCCCUGCCCUGGCCAGCUGUGUGUCCUUGGAUACGCCAAGGUGAAGUUUCCUCUUCUUCAUAACGACCUGCCCCUGGAAAAAAGAGCCCAGACCUCAUCAUGAAUGCUGUCCUAGGAGAAAAUGAACAGCUGGAGAAUGCUCCUGAUCAGUAGGCCUGAAGGAUGCUGGGAUACAGCCUUCAAGAUGGAGCAGCCAGGAUGCCAAGUAUCCCUCUUGCCCAGAUCUAAGGCACUUUUUCCUACUGAUCCAUAUUGGCCUCAGGAGAUGUCUCAACACAGCACCCCAGCCAAUGGAGUUGCCACAUAAGAUGAACUUGUGAUCAUCUCUAAACUAGAGAGUUAAACUCAACACUAGUAAAUGACUUUGGGUUUAUGUAUAUGUCAUGUUUUCUCCGGCAACUGCUCAGAAUCAUCUCUAAAUAUCACGUCUAUGGUUGGCAGGAGUGGCAUGUAUAAUACAAAAUGUCUGGUGGCCCUAUUGUCACAAAACCUGUAUAAAAGUAAAUUCACAAAUGGCUUUUUAGAACUGAUGACAAAAAGUUACUCGUUAUCACUUUUCUACUUAAUUUCCUAAAAGGGCAAUUUGAAAUCACACUAGGAUUCUCACAAUUUUGGUUGACACUCAAGUAAACUGCAGCUACUUAUCAAGCACUUUUGAAUGAACAUAUGAAGAAUGAAUAAAAUGAAAGCUCUCCUGUUGCCCUCAGCGUCA
rnacentral:lncRNA from 10 species